ACUUAAAUUGAAGAGUUUGAUCAUGGCUCAGAUUGAACGCUGGCGGCAGGCCUAACACAUGCAAGUCGAGCGGUAGCACAGAGAGCUUGCUCUCGGGUGACGAGCGGCGGACGGGUGAGUAAUGUCUGGGAAACUGCCUGAUGGAGGGGGAUAACUACUGGAAACGGUAGCUAAUACCGCAUAAUGUCGCAAGACCAAAGUGGGGGACCUUCGGGCCUCAUGCCAUCAGAUGUGCCCAGAUGGGAUUAGCUAGUAGGUGGGGUAACGGCUCACCUAGGCGACGAUCCCUAGCUGGUCUGAGAGGAUGACCAGCCACACUGGAACUGAGACACGGUCCAGACUCCUACGGGAGGCAGCAGUGGGGAAUAUUGCACAAUGGGCGCAAGCCUGAUGCAGCCAUGCCGCGUGUGUGAAGAAGGCCUUCGGGUUGUAAAGCACUUUCAGCGGGGAGGAAGGCGUUAAGGUUAAUAACCUUGGCGAUUGACGUUACCCGCAGAAGAAGCACCGGCUAACUCCGUGCCAGCAGCCGCGGUAAUACGGAGGGUGCAAGCGUUAAUCGGAAUUACUGGGCGUAAAGCGCACGCAGGCGGUCUGUCAAGUCGGAUGUGAAAUCCCCGGGCUUAACCUGGGAACUGCAUUCGAAACUGGCAGGCUAGAGUCUUGUAGAGGGGGGUAGAAUUCCAGGUGUAGCGGUGAAAUGCGUAGAGAUCUGGAGGAAUACCGGUGGCGAAGGCGGCCCCCUGGACAAAGACUGACGCUCAGGUGCGAAAGCGUGGGGAGCAAACAGGAUUAGAUACCCUGGUAGUCCACGCCGUAAACGAUGUCGAUUUGGAGGUUGUGCCCUUGAGGCGUGGCUUCCGGAGCUAACGCGUUAAAUCGACCGCCUGGGGAGUACGGCCGCAAGGUUAAAACUCAAAUGAAUUGACGGGGGCCCGCACAAGCGGUGGAGCAUGUGGUUUAAUUCGAUGCAACGCGAAGAACCUUACCUGGUCUUGACAUCCACAGAACUUUCCAGAGAUGGAUUGGUGCCUUCGGGAACUGUGAGACAGGUGCUGCAUGGCUGUCGUCAGCUCGUGUUGUGAAAUGUUGAGUUAAGUCCCGCAACGAGCGCAACCCUUAUCCUUUGUUGCCAGCGGUCCGGCCGGGAACUCAAAGGAGACUGCCAGUGAUAAACUGGAGGAAGGUGGGGAUGACGUCAAGUCAUCAUGGCCCUUACGACCAGGGCUACACACGUGCUACAAUGGCAUAUACAAAGAGAAGCGACCUCGCGAGAGCAAGCGGACCUCAUAAAGUAUGUCGUAGUCCGGAUUGGAGUCUGCAACUCGACUCCAUGAAGUCGGAAUCGCUAGUAAUCGUAGAUCAGAAUGCUACGGUGAAUACGUUCCCGGGCCUUGUACACACCGCCCGUCACACCAUGGGAGUGGGUUGCAAAAGAAGUAGGUAGCUUAACCUUCGGGAGGGCGCUUACCACUUUGUGAUUCAUGACUGGGGUGAAGUCGUAACAAGGUAACCGUAGGGGAACCUGCGGUUGGAUCACCUCCUUACCUUAAAGAA
rnacentral:rRNA from 1 species